rnacentral:pre_miRNA from 1 species
CGGUGAUCCCAUGUUGCGUUUCUGUGGAUAAUUGAGUUCAGCAAUGUGCACGGGAUCAAUGAC